rnacentral:rRNA from 1 species
CCAGACUCCUACGGGAGGCAGCAGUAGGGAAUCUUCGGCAAUGGACGAAAGUCUGACCGAGCAACGCCGCGUGAGUGAAGAAGGUUUUCGGAUCGUAAAACUCUGUUGUUAGAGAAGAACAAGGAUGAGAGUAGAACGUUCAUCCCUUGACGGUAUCUAACCAGAAAGCCACGGCUAACUACGUGCCAGCAGCCGCGGUAAUACGUAGGUGGCAAGCGUUGUCCGGAUUUAUUGGGCGUAAAGCGAGCGCAGGCGGUUUCUUAAGUCUGAUGUGAAAGCCCCCGGCUCAACCGGGGAGGGUCAUUGGAAACUGGGAGACUUGAGUGCAGAAGAGGAGAGUGGAAUUCCAUGUGUAGCGGUGAAAUGCGUAGAUAUAUGGAGGAACACCAGUGGCGAAGGCGGCUCUCUGGUCUGUAACUGACGCUGAGGCUCGAAAGCGUGGGGAGCGAACAGGAUUAGAUACCCUGGUAGUCCACGCCGUAAACGAUGAGUGCUAAGUGUUGGAGGGUUUCCGCCCUUCAGUGCUGCAGCAAACGCAUUAAGCACUCCGCCUGGGGAGUACGACCGCAAGGUUGAAACUCAAAGGAAUUGACGGGGGCCCGCACAAGCGGUGGAGCAUGUGGUUUAAUUCGAAGCAACGCGAAGAACCUUACCAGGUCUUGACAUCCUUUGACCACUCUAGAGAUAGAGCUUCCCCUUCGGGGGCAAAGUGACAGGUGG